rnacentral:rRNA from 1 species
ACGGAAGAUGCGAGCGUUAUCCGGAUUUAUUGGGUUUAAAGGGAGCGUAGGCGGGCUUUUAAGUCAGCGGUCAAAUGCCACGGCUCAACCGUGGCCAGCCGUUGAAACUGCAAGCCUUGAGUCUGCACAGGGCACAUGGAAUUCGUGGUGUAGCGGUGAAAUGCUUAGAUAUCACGAAGAACUCCGAUCGCGAAGGCAUUGUGCCGGGGCAGCACUGACGCUGAGGCUCGAAAGUGCGGGUAUCAAACAG